AGAGGAUAAGAGCAAGAGAACAAGAGUGCAAAAGAAUGAGGAGGGGGCAAGCAGCCCCUUUUAUUGUGUCAGGCAUUCCUGGCUGUUGCCAGGUAACUAUGGGGCGGAGCAUUCUUGGCUGUUGCCAGGUAACUGUGGGGCGGAGCUUAGACAAAAGACAUUGCAUCAUAAUCCAGAAGCGAUGCUGUUACAAAUGUAACCACCAGAAGUGCUUUUGAGGAGUGAAGGGAAUCUGGUAAAAACAUCAAGGCUCUGGUUACAGGGGUGGGUCCCGGGAGUCUGAUUAGCCUGUAGGGCAGAUGCUGACAUCUUUGGGUGCACCUAAGUCAUUGAAGCUACAGACUGUGUCCAUCAAGUGACCUGGUCCAGAGGAUAUUCCACAGGGUGCAUUCCUGGCCAGUGCCCCUGGUCUAGUAAGUGGAAGCCCGAGAACAGCAAGACUUCAUCUUCUACAGAAUCCAGGGUGUCCAUAUUUGCAUGCAUCCUCUAGCCUUUGGAAGUUCUGAGCCUUCAUCUGGUGAACCCUGAAGAGUCCUUGUGACUUCACAAUGGGGUUCUCUUUCCGAGCAUCACCUAGGACUGUGCAGGAACACUGAAAGGCUUGAUAACUGGUUCUGGUUAUACAUUAGUUUUCCUCAGAUGAUAACAGAAGCUUGGAAAUAGAUACAAACAGCAUCCUCUGUAAACUCUCCUGUGGAUAUGACCGACGUAUGUGCGUAUGUGGAUAUUACUCCUCACUGACAUGUUCCAGAGAUAUGCCUCCUUCUCUCAGAAAAGAUUCCUUUGCCUGAAACCAGUACCAGACAUGGACCCAACAGUAAUGACAAAAAUAUAGAACAGUGUCCCUGAUGAGCACAGGUGGGAAAGAAAUCCUUCAUAGAAUACUUGCAGAUCUGAGAACAUAUCCAGUCAUCCUUCAAGGUGAAGUGCACCUGUACUGUUUGGAAGUUGUGGCCACGUCAUCUUUCAUGAUUGGGCAAGCCUGCUUUUGUACACAAAAGAAACGCACACCUAAUAAAGUUAAGUUCAUUUUCUGGGCAAAGGCACUCACUAAAUCCUCAGAAACCUGAAGAACACAGCCUGUAGUGACUUCAAAGACUUUCUUGCUGGGCUUCAGUUUUCUCGGAGCCAAGGCAGUCACAGGAUUCUGGCCAACAAAAGAAGCUGUUCUCAGAACCACAGACUAUGGUUCCUGGUGAAUUUCCACACAAGGCAUUGGAACCAUGUUGUUGUGGAAGAAAGGAGUCAUUGAUGAAGUUCACCAAGGUCUUAUGGUAAAAGCCUCUUAAAUGAAUAAUAAUAAUAAGAAGAAGAAGAAGAAGAAGAAGAAGAAGAAGAAGACGAGGAGGAGGAGGAGGAAGAAGAGGAAGAGAAGGAGGAAGAAGAGAGGAG
ensembl:lncRNA